AGAAGGAGCCUGAGAAACGGCUACUACAUCCAAGGAAGGCAGCAGGCGCGCAAAUUACCCAAUCCCGACACGGGGAGGUAGUGACAAUAAAUACUGAUACAGGGCUCUUUUGGGUCUUGUAAUUGGAAUGAGUACAAUUUAAAUCCCUUAACGAGGAACAAUUGGAGGGCAAGUCUGGUGCCAGCAGCCGCGGUAAUUCCAGCUCCAAUAGCGUAUAUUAAAGUUGUUGCAGUUAAAAAGCUCGUAGUUGAACCUUGGGCCUGGCUGGCCGGUCUGCCUCACCGCAUGCACUGGUCCGGCCGGGCCUUUCCCUCUGGGGAUCCGCAUGCCCUUCACUGGGUGUGUCGGGGAACCAGGACUUUUACUGUGAAAAAAUUAGAGUGUUCAAAGCAGGCCUAUGCUCGAAUACAUUAGCAUGGAAUAAUAGAAUAGGACGUUGCGGUUCUAUUUUGUUGGUUUCUAGGACCGCCGUAAUGAUUAAUAGGGACAGUCGGGGGCGUCAGUAUUCAAUCGUCAGAGGUGAAAUUCUUGGAUCGAUUGAAGACUAACUACUGCGAAAGCAUUCGCCAAGGAUGUUUUCAUUAAUCAGGAACGAAAGUUAGGGGAUCGAAAACGAUCAGAUACCGUUGUAGUCUUAACCAUAAACUAUGCCGACUAGGGAUCGGGCGAUGUUAUUUCUUGACUCGCUCGGCACCUUAC
rnacentral:rRNA from 1 species